CCAAUCCCGCCUCCAGUCCAGAGGGUGGCGCGCAGCGCUGAGGCUCUCAGCCAACCGAGCUCCCGACGCGACAGCCCGUUCCGCGCGCGGCUGGGCGGCGACCACAAGGCACGGGGAUGGGUAUCUCGCUCAUUCAGUUCUUUCCCUUACGACGCUUUACCACUCCAAGGCCCUGCUCGAUCCCCCACCAUCGUCGCAGCUCCUGAAUGUUUCUGAUGGUGUGUGCUGUUGAUUUCUACAUACUGCCAGAGUGCCUGUUUCUUCUACUGUAUUCGAUUCGUUUUCUACCCUCUCAAUGUGACUUUUCUACUCCCAUUUCUGUUCUCUACUAGGUGUACCAGUUGAUUCCAGGAGUCCAGCAAUGUGAUGCACCGCUCCCUGAAGGUUGCAUAGUUGCAUCGCACCACGCGGUGGCAUACUUGCCUGUCGAUUAUGCAGGUAUGAUAGUUCAUUCCAGUGCCAACGACAAAAGGGUAUGACAAGAAAAAUAUGAUUAUUGGAAUUCCCAUGUGCACUAGUUACAAUAAAUUAAUAAUUCUUCGUGGAUGUGAUUUAUUUAUAAUAAUCAGUUUUUCAUGUGAAAACUUAGUAACCGUUCUACAGACUGGGUGCCAUUUUACAAACUUAAUUGAAAAUUUACUAUGCACGGAUUAGCCAUUUGACCAAGAUCAAUAGGGCUACUGCAGAUCUUUGAGCUUCAAGCAUCAACCCGCCUUGGCUCCAUAGUUUAUGAAACUAAACUUGAGCCACUUGAUCACCUAUAUUUGUUACGCCUCCCCUGUGGGUGACUUGAGAACCAAAACAAGUCAAUGCUAUUGCCUUGUUAUUCUGCGGGCAGUCCCUUAGCUCAUCACUAUUCGUGUUCGGACGAGGCAUGGAUAUUGUUGUGGCUUGGUUCUCUAUAUCAUUGCAACCUCCAUUUUCUUCAUUGUUUUGAUCUCCGUCUUGAAUGUGCCCAUUUUCUUCUUGUGGCCCAUGUCCUUGUUCAUUCUGAUAAUCUGUGUUGAUCCGUUGACCUUUUUUGUACUGGUUCCUCAGCAAGACUAUAGAAAGGGAGCAGGUUGUCACAAGUCCAGUUAGGAGGAAUAAUCCCCCAAAGUUGCAAAAAGUGAUAGCACCUGAAUCAGCAACUUCUUCCUCAUUUUGGCAACUGUUUUGAUCAAUCCAUUUCUUCUCGAUUUGAAUGAUGCUAUCUCCUUCUGUUAUGUUGAGGAUUGCCCUUGAUAUUUCAGUAAGUAGCGGAGAUCGCUUAGGAAGUGCCUAAUUCCCGAAGAGGAAGUCUUAUUAACUUUACUAUACUAAUAUUUAAAGAAUUCUUCAGUAUAUCUGACUCAGUACUAGCCAUGAAAAAUAUAAUUUCUGAAUCUCAUCUUUAUUUUGAUCUAACCUUUUCAGCUUUAGUGAUGCAAUGGAAUGUGGAAUUUAAUGCAGCACAUGAUUAUAUUAUUUGGAUGUUAGAUUUUCCAUCAUAAUUUAGUAGCAAACUAGCAAUUUUUAAUAUAGUUAGGAAAGAUUGAAAUAAUUGGCUAGCAAAGAGUAGUUGAACUUACAAAUGCAAAGCCAGCACUUUUGUAUAUAGGUCCAACCAUUGUGUAACCGUUGCAGUAUUUGGCGAGAAACAAUUUGAUGUAUGGGACUUCCAGAACGAGGGCAGCAACACCACCAUGUCUGCCUUCAUUAGAAAGAGCAAUGUGGAAGUCAUCAGGAGUAUCAUAGGGUCUUAUUUUUGAUUUUUCAAAACCGAUAUCUUCCAACAGGCCCUCUAUGUAGGAACCUCGGUGGAACCCUACAUACGCUCCUUGCUUUUGGAGUUCAUGAAUGUCAGUGACCGUUGGUGAAAGCUGCUGUACAAGAAGCAUUGAUGCGAAGCUUGCAGUAUAACUUGAUGCUAGCACCAGAAGAACAAACAUCCAUACAAGUAGAAGUAUUCUAGACAAAAAACAUUCCAGCUUCUCCUCUGCAGAAUUAACUACAAAAAUGUUAUUUUUUCUUUCAAUAAACCAAUUCAAUUUGUAAAACAAUAUAUUGAGUUUUUCUUGAAAAAGUUAUAUAUUAAGCAAUUUUUGUCAAUGACUGCCAUAGUUGUUUGAAAUUUGUAGAUGAACAAAACCAACGAGAAAAUAUACUGUUUAAGUGUUUUACUCAACUCUCUUCGAAUAUGGAGAAAAACAUCACAAUCCCAAGUUGUUUGAGUGAAAAGGGACCAUUUAGAUAUCCAUUGCCACUUAGUCGCUCUAACAGCCAGACAACAAUUCCAGUAUAUAUAAAGAACAUUAUGCUUCCAAACCACAUUUCUUUGGUUAGUGGUUUCAAGAAAAUCCACAUGUUAUUGUUGACUUUUUCCUUGACUGGGACAAUCAUCGCCACUCCUGAUUCUGUGUAUGGUAUAGUGAAGUCGACAUACAUCGUUCUGUUAUAUCUGAUUGUUAUGUCUCCAAUUGCCAUGUCAUAUCUCUGCAUUGACAUCAAUUGGUUGUAUUUAAUUGUAAAAUGAAAAGUAAAGUCUACUUAUUAUGCACUACAUCUGAUUCAAUAAUGCAUUCUAAUUUGUAUUUAAUAAAAGGAAAACAGUUAGGGCCAGUAUAUAUUUUCUGUGGGAAAGAAAGAAACAAGCCUGUAUAUAUUUUCUUGGAUUUAUGUCCUUUCAAUAAACCAGCAGCAAGGUUUGAUUCUGGUCGAAAAUAGGAUUAGGUUUUGACACUGGUUAAAACUAUAAAUGCUGUAAAAUAUUAACUCAUUACAAUACUAUUUACAGUAAAUAUAUGCACAUUUUAGGUUAUUCACUUGGAAGAUUGGGAAAUUGAGUAGUAUCUUUUAGAAAUUAUUCCUUACCUGAAGAUAAACUUGGUAAACAAAAUCAUUAUAGCUCCCUGUACUUUGUGUAUCAACGGUAUCAAAUGCUUGGUACUCGUAAGGAAGUGCAAAAGGCAGUCUCUUUACUGCCUCCUCAAAUAUGUUUAUUGAGAGUCCACUCGCUCUUGUUGCAUUCGUGACAGGAUCCUUUGAUGUUUUUAUAAACUCUGGAUAUGCACUUGUGUGCACACCAACCCUAAUCUUGUUAGCACUUGCAGGAAGUUCCCAACCCCUUGGUACUUCUGUUGAUUCUCCUGGCCAAAUCACUGGAUUUAGAUGUUGCAUUGAGGCUGGCAUUGUUAAUUUCAAACCAUUUUGAUUUAACUGGUAUGGAAAACCAUUUUUCAAAGUCCAAAAUCCAAUAUGUCUCCAACUCCUCCCAACCACAUUUAUUAUUUGCAAUGCAGACACUUGCAGCUGUCUGUCUGUAAGGUCGAAAUUUCCACUUAAGCCUCUGAAUUUGUUCUGUACAAUUGCUGUUAGGAGCUCUGGUCCAAAUCUAGAAACAGCCAAUGACUCCAAGCAUGUAGAAUUUUUACUGAACUGCAGUCUCUUAUUUUUGUUAAUUAAUACCCCAAUCUUUUCUGCCGCUUGUGCUAAUGCCCAAACUGUAUCAUAUCCCCAUAGCCCGAAAAUGCUUAGUUUAUUAAAUGGUGAUUCGGUUGGGUUGUCUUGUUGGUACAUUCUGUUCCAUCUUAUGGAAAAACUUUCAAGUUCUUUUGAUCUGGGGACAUGAAAUCUUACUCCUAUUACCCCAUUCAUCGCCUCGAUGAUAGAUGGAUUGAGUGAAUCAAUGAUAUUUGCUAAUCCAUUUGUAAUGAUCCACACAAAUCCUUUGGUCAUCAUCCCUGCCUCCUUGGCUUUUGUGAAGAGAAGGGAGGCCCUGGUCGAUGACAUAUGAACAAUGAAUACCCUUGUUUGCAUUGUCUUUAGCUUGAAGAGCUCUUGCAUAAUGUUUUCACUUGUUGCUGACAAGGAGAUAACACUACGAUAUGGAAUAUGAGCAUCUAUUUGUUGAAGGGCGUCAAUGAGGUGUGGUAGAAUGCCCCUCCCAUAGUCGGUAUCAUCAUAUACUGGAACCACCUCUCUCCAUCCAUAGGCUUUGAUAAGAGAGGCAAUACUAUUCACUUGAACUGAGUCAUUCAAUGUUGCACGCACAAAAUACGGCAUAAUAUCUGAAGUAAGUGAGGGACUUGUUGCAGUGAAGGAUACAAUAGGUACUUGUGUUGUAUUCCCAAGGUUGGAUAUAAACACAGCUUCUGAUGAUUUCUGGGGACCAAUGAUGGCUUGCACUUUGUAUGUCUCCAGUAAUUCAAUAGCUUUGGAAUUGCACAAGAAAGGAAAUUUCUGUCAACAAAUUUGUAGUACUAAGCAUAUUUAUUUUCAAGUGCUUUCAAGAUUCCAUAAAGACAAAUUUUGCUAGAAGACACUCUGACUAUGUGGGUUCUGUUGGUGGAAUGCUAAAAAUGUUUACCAUUAGAGGAGGACAUUCUUGAAAAGUGAAUAUUAUUUUAUUCUAGCAAAUAUUCACUUUUUUGGUAACACCCCCCCCCCCCCCCCCGC
rnacentral:lncRNA from 1 species